CGAGAUCCUCUCAACGUUCUCGCCAUCCCCUGCAGCCAAGGAUCAAGCUGACUUCAUCCCAUUCCGAUCCUAGCUCCCAUUUGUCCACGUCCGCAGCCUCCUUCCCCUGUUCUGCAUGUCCCUUUCCUUCCGAGGAGAACCAGCAACCAUCCAACGACCGGAUCAGAUUCGGCAACAUCUCCACAUCAUCCUCUUCUUCGGAUCAAGCCAAUGAACUUCCCAGAUUUCCUUAAAGGAGCAGUAUCUAUCCACCAUCCACGGAAGAGAUAAAGCCUCCACAGCAUUAUCCACCCAUUCGGAAUAGCCACAAGGAAGAGAGAGAGGAAGAUGGGCUGCCUAUAUAAAGGGAAGACUUUGAUCAGAGUGGAGCAUUCCUCCUUCCCCACCUGGGGGCAUUCCCUCUUCCCCCAUGGGGGGUUGAUCCCAUCUAUCUCUCACAGGCCAAGUUCCAC
rnacentral:lncRNA from 1 species